UAUUUAUAAGAUAGUAACAUUUUCAAUCAUUGUCAUUGUGUCUAUACUAGUAUUAAACCCGCGCUUCGCUGCGCAUAAAUAAAAUUUUAAUUAAUUAAUAUAUAAUUACUUAAAAUUUAAAAUUUAAAAUAUAAAAUUUAUUUUAAAAAAUUAAAAAUAUAAUACAUUCGAAAAAAUCGUUAACUUCUCCAUAUCAAAAUAGUUGCCGACUCAAAACCCAAAACCCAAAACAUUACUCUUUU
rnacentral:lncRNA from 1 species